UUCAAAUGCUUUUUCUCAAAA
rnacentral:piRNA from 1 species